AUACGCCAAUUGUGAUGGGAAAGCAUGGAAGGCCAAAGGAAGACGUCAUGGGUUUCUUGGAAGGACAUGACCUAGCCCAAGUUUCUGGGUGGAUUGGGAUUCAGGGGAUUUGAGCUCUUCAACCUAGCAUUGAUGGCGUGGCACAUUCUACAAUGUUUACACACUCUUUGUUCCAUGAUGCUGAAAGCUAUUUAUUUCCCCGCUGGUAAUAUUUUGUCAGCCGAACUUGGGAACCAUCCUUCACAUAUAUGGCGAGCAAUAAUUGAAGGAAUAGAUGUGCUACACCAAGGCUUCAUCCGAAUAGUUGGGGAUGGUUCUUCCAUCGUUAUUUGCUCGGACAACUAGAUCCCUAGAGAUGAAAACAUGAGACCGUUUGUGUGCCUCGCAACGGUUCGCCCCACCCUGGUUAAUGAGCUCAUAAAUCAUGUUGAGGCCUCGUUGAAUAGGGAGGUCUUACAACAAACUUUUCUCCCCGCCGAUGUGGACGCAAUCUUGAGCAUACCGCUUUGUACUAGAAAUAAUGAGGAUUUCUGGGCAUGGAAUUCCGACAAGAUGUUUUUUCACAGUGAGGACGGCGUACCACAUGCUCACCCACACACAGCGCCGACGGGAGGCUUGGCUCGAUGGGCGUGCGAGCUCCUCCAAUUAUGGAGCCAAGGAGGAUGGACGGAAGAAGCUCUAGCAGGUGGACGUCUGAGGAAAGCUACACAAUCUUUUGUGGAGGCUGGCAAAACAUUCUAUUCCAACUGA
rnacentral:rRNA from 1 species